UCUUUGAUAGUAUAGUGGUAAGUAUUCCCGCCUGCCAAUAUUAUCUGAUCAGGCUCGCGGGCGAAGUUCAAUUCCCCGCCAAAGAG